rnacentral:lncRNA from 1 species
AGAAUGUCAGGCUUUGUAGUUGCUGCUGAUGAAGAUGGGGUAUCUGUGAGUGUCUCUGACGUCUUCGGUUGCUUUGGUUCAACGUCUGCAACAGGGGCCUUGGCUUGUUCGGGGAAAAGGGAAGGACAAAAGUGAGGAAGGGAGGGAGGAAGGGGUGAAGAAAGGAAGAGAUUAAGACAACUCCCUGGCCUACCGUGACAGAGCAGGCCUCACGUGUGGACAACAAUGCUUUGGUUUCAGAGCCUGCACUGUUUCCUCCUGGAAUGCCUCGGAGUCUGAUAUCAAAUCAAAAGGGUUGAAUUUAUUUACGACAGAGGAGACAGCACUUAAAGGGUUAACAUCUGAGAAGAAACCAGGCAUCAUACUAGACUUGUAUUCUUCCUUAAAAUCAGUUCUGGACUUGGAUUCUUUCAAGCUAAUAGUGGACGGGCUUCUUCCAGGCAGCUUCUGCUCUGACCUGAACGUGUCCGUAGUUCUGCUUUUGCUGAGACCAGGCUGUGUGGGACGCCCAGGGUCCGGUGGCUUUCCCGGUUGCUGUGGAGCCUGACUACUAUCCAACUCAUGUUUCCUAGAAAAUGGAAAUAGUGUAAAUUAGUUCAAAUCAAACCAAUAUUUAAAACUAUUGCAUGUUUUUGUAACUCAAAUAUAUGUAGACAUAAUUUUUGUUGCAACCUGUAUUGCCUGUAAAACUUUUCUUGUCUGUUACUUUUACAUGGGUAGAUAGACAUGUUCGACAAACUA